AGGGGGCGGAUGUAGCCAAGUGGUUAAGGCAGUGGAUUGUGAAUCCACCAUGCGCGGU
rnacentral:tRNA from 4 species